CGGGGGGAGAAAUCACAUCCCCUGAACUCUCAGCUAUGGAAAGGCCUGGCUCUUGGCACAGUUACCGGGUAUUACCAGGCAACAGAGUUGUAAAGCUAGCAGCUCUGCAAACAGCACCUGCAUGAUGAUUUCAGUGUCAGGAAAGCCUCUACACCAGAGCAGCCCCCUUCUUCUGCUUGCUACAGAAAACUGCAACCCAAGAAGCUUCUACUUCUUGUCUUCUGGAACUCUAUCUGGGGUCUCUGAGUUGCUGAAAAGAAGCCUGACUACCCACCUACACAUGCUAGAGAACAUCUAGACACUCCAUUCCCACCAAUGUGUUAAACAUUGAGUGAGCUGUCUUAGACCAUACUUACUCAUUCACCAGAUGAAUUCCACCUAGUGACUUCAGUUUAUAUCACGUGAAGAAGAAAAAUUGCCAACCUGAGCCCUUUCCGAAUUCCUGAUCCAAAAUCAUUAGAUAAAAUAAAAUGCCAGUUGUUUUAA
rnacentral:lncRNA from 1 species